ensembl:lncRNA
CCCAGCCCCAGCCCUAGGCUCAUGUAAGAUGGAGGUUAAAGCAGAACUAGCUGCCCAAUCUGUGACCAACACACCAAACGAAGAACCAAAGGGUGCUGCCAAAGAACCAGAGGCCGCCAAGCCGAAAUCUGACCGCCCGUUCAGCAGACUUUUCAGCAGAAAGGCACUGAUAGGCCUCAAGUCUAAAAUCAAGGUUAAGUCAACAAGUGGAGCCAGAGCCCCUGCCAAGCCUGCUGCAGCGAAUGUAGACUUCUCAAAGACGGCCACUCUGGAGGCCUCUGCCACACUAGAACCACCACCACCAGAGGAAGAGAAGACACCUGCUGCCUCCAAAGCCUCUCCUUUCACUUCCUUUUCUCUUUUCAAGACAAAGGCAGCUGUGCCAAAAAAGGAAGUCCCUGCCCUAGCUGCAGAAGCGGUAGUUGAACCAAGUGUAGCCAAGGACGAACCAAAGGCCCCAGAGGACCCUGCUGUGGACAGCAAGCCCGUGUCAGAGCCCUCCGAGGUUAUGGAGAAUUCCCCCGUCCUCCCUAAGAGACUGGAGAAGAGGAACUCCAUCCACUUGUUCUUCAAAAACCUGGGCAAACGCCAGUCAGAUGCAGGAGUACAAACAGAACCAGAGAAGACCAAAUAAAACAGAAACACCCUUUCAAACAUCACAUGCCAUAUCUGGAAAUGAACUUUUGAUUUGUUAGAUACAUUAUGUUUCUGAUCACACUAUUGAUGUGGUAAGAGCAAGUGGUUUGAGGGAGAGAGGUGGACUGUGGACUAGUCUGUUCUAGUCUAAUCUUUGUGGACAAUUUCAGAGAAUUGUUCUUUGUGGAGGAGGUAAAUAUAUUUUCUGGUUUUAAAGGCUUGAUAGGUAGAGAAAAGUGGUUUUGUAACAUAUACUGAGAGCAAAAUCAAUUUUCUAUACAGUAUGUACCCUUCUUUUAACAUACAUGUCAAACUCAUUCCACGGAGGGCUGAGUGUCUGCUGGUUUUUGUUCCUCCCUUGAUUGAUUAAUUAAGGUCACUAAUUAGUAAAGAACUCCCCUCACCUGGUUGUCUAAGGUCUUAAAAACGAAACACUCGCAGACACUAAGCCCUUCAUGGAAUGAGUUUGACAUCCCUGCUUUAACAUAUUAAUGUGUAAGGAUCUAAUGCAAAUAUUACGUUUAGCAUAUUUUUUUCCCUCUAUACGCAAUUUACUAGUCUGAAAAUAACUUGUGGAGUGCAUACAAUGGUUUCAGAUACAUUCAUAGGACGUCUUGGAGAAGAGAUGCAUAAAGCUUAGCUUGGAAUAGAGAGAUAGUAAUGGAAUAUACUCCAAAUGUAAUGGAGGAGUUGGUGAAAUGGUGGAUAUUCCUGCCAAGAUGUUUUUAUUUAGGCUAGACACAUGCAACUUACAAUGUAGGCUUUAAACUUUGCAGGAACUGUACACGGAUGCAAAUAUAUGCCAAACACUAAAUUACAAUAUAUGAUUAUAAUCAUACACAGGGGGACCUCACAAUCAUUACUUUUUUUGGGAACUACACAGAUCAUCUGGUAGUCUAUAUAGCUAACUGCACAGUCAUGAAUCAUAUUUGAUUAACGUUUCACUGAAGUAUAAAGGUUUGUUCUAAUUUGAGUGCACUGCUUUACAUGUGUGUGCCUGUUUGAAUGCAGAUGUUAUAAUCUUGGGUAUCUUGUCUGUUAAUUUCUGCACCUAUAAUUUGAUAAACUGGAUCUGGAAGUAGAAUAUUUAUUGUGACAGCAAUUUCCGAAUCAUGACAACCUGCAAUGGGGUAUAUGGGGGGGUUCUACUGAGCUAACAUGGAUUUUUUUUUAAAGAUCAUACCAUGGAUCCUUUAGCUAUUUAAUUUUUCAUUGGGGUAAAAUAUUGAAUUUGGCCUUUUAAUGCUACAACCUAUAGAAAUGCAUUGAAUAACACACUCAUAAAUGGCAAAACAGAGUACAAAAAUAAAUAAUAAGGAAUAUGUUUUUGAAUUGUCUGUCCUACAUCUAGGAGAUGUAAUAAAGUUCAGGAUUUACACAUUUAACCCAUUUUUUGGGGUGUCACAAAACUACUUCUAUAUUUGUUUUUAUGUUAAUUAGAUUGACGCACGGGUGCGUUGAUCAACUUUAGGGGUAUUUAAAGCUAUUUUUUUCUGUAACUGUUAAGAGAAUAAAUGUAUACAAUUA